rnacentral:rRNA from 1 species
AGUGAACGCUGGCGGUAGGCCUAACACAUGCAAGUCGAACGGCAGCACAGUAAGAGCUUGCUCUUACGGGUGGCGAGUGGCGGACGGGUGAGGAAUACAUCGGAAUCUACCUUUUCGUGGGGGAUAACGUAGGGGAAACUUACGCUAAUACCGCAUACGACCUACGGGUGAAAGCAGGGGAUCUUCGGACCUUGCGCGAUUGAAUGAGCCGAUGUCGGAUUAGCUAGUUGGCGGGGUAAAGGCCCACCAAGGCGACGAUCCGUAGCUGGUCUGAGAGGAUGAUCAGCCACACUGGAACUGAGACACGGUCCAGACUCCUACGGGAGGCAGCAGUGGGGAAUAUUGGACAAUGGGCGCAAGCCUGAUCCAGCCAUACCGCGUGGGUGAAGAAGGCCUUCGGGUUGUAAAGCCCUUUUGUUGGGAAAGAAAAGCAGCAGGUUAAUACCCCGCUGUUCUGACGGUACCCAAAGAAUAAGCACCGGCUAACUUCGUG